GAACUUUAAAAGGAACGCCUUAUUCUUUCACGUCAGCAUUUAUCACAGGCAUCAGUCUAUUUUUCAGCAUACUGCAUGCGAUGAAAAUAAAUCCCAUGAUCAAGACUACCAAGACAAAA